GAUGAACGCUGGCGGCGUGCCUAAUACAUGCAAGUCGAACGCUUCACUUCGGUGAAGAGUGGCGAACGGGUGAGUAAUACAUAAGUAACCUGGCAUCUACAGGGGGAUAACUGAUGGAAACGUCAGCUAAGACCGCAUAGGUGUAGAGAUCGCAUGAACUCUAUAUGAAAAGUGCUACGGGACUGGUAGAUGAUGGACUUAUGGCGCAUUAGCUUGUUGGUAGGGUAACGGCCUACCAAGGCGACGAUGCGUAGCCGACCUGAGAGGGUGACCGGCCACACUGGGACUGAGACACGGCCCAGACUCCUACGAGAGGCAGCAGUAGGGAAUUUUCGGCAAUGGGGGAAACCCUGACCGAGCAACGCCGCGUGAAGGAAGAAGUAAUUCGUUAUGUAAACUUCUGUCAUAGAGGAAGAACGGUGGAUAUAGGGAAUGAUAUCCAAGUGACGGUACUCUAUAAGAAAGCCACGGCUAACUACGUG
rnacentral:rRNA from 1 species